UGGGGAAUAUUGGACAAUGGGCGCAAGCCUGAUCCAGCCAUGCCGCGUGAGUGAUGAAGGCCCUAGGGUUGUAAAGCUCUUUCACCGGUGAAGAUAAUGACGGUAACCGGAGAAGAAGCCCCGGCUAACUUCGUGCCAGCAGCCGCGGUAAUACGAAGGGGGCUAGCGUUGUUCGGAUUUACUGGGCGUAAAGCGCACGUAGGCGGACUUUUAAGUCAGGGGUGAAAUCCCGGGGCUCAACCCCGGAACUGCCUUUGAUACUGGAAGUCUUGAGUAUGGUAGAGGUGAGUGGAAUUCCGAGUGUAGAGGUGAAAUUCGUAGAUAUUCGGAGGAACACCAGUGGCGAAGGCGGCUCACUGGACCAUUACUGACGCUGAGGUGCGAAAGCGUGGGGAGCAAACAGGAUUAGAUGCCCUGGUAGUCCACGCCGUAAACGAUGAAUGUUAGCCGUUGGGGAGUUUACUCUUCGGUGGCGCAGCUAACGCAUUAAACAUUCCGCCUGGGGAGUACGGUCGCAAGAUUAAAACUCAAAGGAAUUG
rnacentral:rRNA from 1 species